CAACUAUCAAGAGCAUAUCCUUAUCUAAUAAUAACAGACUCGUACCUAAUUACAUAAAAUCACCUGUUAUUACAGGUCCGAUUACAUCAAUUCCUCAUCAAACAUAGCAGCUUUGAGAAGCCGCGAUGACUUGAA
rfam:Populus trichocarpa scaffold_5_contig_144, whole genome shotgun sequence.